GUACCAGACUCCUACAGGAGGCAGCAGUGGGGAAUAUUGCACAAUGGGGGGAACCCUGAUGCAGCGACGCCGCGUGGGUGAAGGAGCACCUCGGUGCGUAAAGCCCUAUCGGCAGGGAAGAAACAGACGGUACCUGACUAAGAAGCCCCGGCUAACUACGUGCCAGCAGCCGCGGUAAUACGUAGGGGGCAAGCGUUGUCCGGAUUUACUGGGUGUAAAGGGCGUGCAGCCGGGAAGACAAGUCAGAUGUGAAAUCCCGCGGCUCAACCGCGGAACUGCAUUUGAAACUGUUUUUCUUGAGUACCGGAGAGGUCAUCGGAAUUCCUUGUGUAGCGGUGAAAUGCGUAGAUAUAAGGAAGAACACCAGUGGCGAAGGCGGAUGACUGGACGGCAACUGACGGUGAGGCGCGAAAGCGUGGGGAGCAAACAGGAUUAGAUACCCGCGUAC
rnacentral:rRNA from 1 species